UGCCAGCGCCGUGGCGAGGCGAUCCAGCUUCUCUGCGAGGGCAGCACCGAGGCUGUGCAGCUCCUGUUGCAGGGGCUUCCCACAGUGGCACGGCGGCUGCGGGGAGGUGGCCGGCAAUACUGGAGGCGCGGCUUCCUGAGGGGGCAGCUCCGGAGGUGGAGACUCACGGGGUGGCUCAGGUGGGACCUGGGGGAGCAGCCUCCCAUGGGUCUUGGCUAAAACCAGAGCAAGGACCGGUCAGAGUUCUUGGUUUGUAAGGAACUCUCUCUCCCCAGAGGUCCCCUGAACCAAGGGCGCUCAGUACCCUGCCUCCUCCAAGGCCCGGCUUCCAGAAGGGAAGGAAGGCUUUAAACCGAGGAAAAAGUGAAGACUGGAGUAGCUAAAGGACCCAGCCGCUGUUUGGUCAAGUUCAUCAACAAGGAUCUCGGCCUGGAGACCCCGGCCAGGACUUCUACAGAGGACAGGCAAGGCUCGGUGGCCCCAGGCAGCUCAGAGCUCUCAGCAAAGCGGUGGCGCCUGGACAGAAGCCAACACCCUGAGCCAAUAAGAGAACCUGCCGCAGGCCGCACUGAAAGUUCCUGGUGUGGGGUUGUCCCCAAGUGACCCAGGGCACUAGAUGCCAGGCCCCCUGCAUGUUUCCACCAUGGGUCUGCAGGGGCAGGCGUGUGACACGGAGCCAACCCUCUCACAAUGACCGUGGCUAGGUCAUCCUGGCCUCAGUUUCCUCACCUAUUCUCUAAAGUCCCCUCAAGCCCCAAACUGAUUCUUCACUUCUCAAUUUCUACCUCUAAAGGGUGUGUCUGCUUUUAUGAAAAUCCCAACUGGUUCUGUAAUAAAACACUGAAAUGAAAUAUGCAACCUGAA